ensembl:lncRNA
CUGGGAUUAGUUUUUGUAGCCAUGGCUGGCCCAUCAAACUCUGAGCCCUUGAUGUGGCUGUGCGAAGGUUCUUGGGGCCUUGGCAAAAUGCCUGGAUACCUCUUGGCCCUUUCAAGGACUGGAGAGAUCAUGGUCACAGGCCUUGGGAGAGAGGCCCCAGGGCCAGCUGGUCAAAGGAGAGGCGCUUGCCCCCAGCAUUGAGGAUGCGGUCCUGGGUGUGGCUGCCCGCCUGCACCCCCACAGAGCACACACCUGUGGUUUGGGUACCACCUGGACACACACAUCAUGUGUUAAAAUCUCUACAACCACAGCUAUUUUGCUCUCCUGGCCAGGAUGCUUCAUCUUCCGGGUCAUCCAGAAAAGGAACGGAGGUGGCCGGCGUGGAAGAGACUCCACAAUGAUGAGAUAUGGUGCCCAUCCUUAUGGAACUUACAUCUGGUUGGGGAGAUGAAUCGCAGCCACUUCAAAAAUUAACUGCAUUACAAGGUAAUUUUGCCAAAAGUGAGGAAAGUGGCAUAAAGAAGCAGAGAAAUGAUUGAUCACUUACAACUGGAGUAGUCAAGGAAGAGUUCCUAUUAUUUUU